ensembl:lncRNA novel transcript
GGGACCCUUUCCAACCUGGCUGUCUCAAAGGGAACCAGAUUAUGCAAGGCUUUGUGUUCCAGCUUAGGCUAAACCAAGAACAACUUUAUCCUAAGGUCAAGAGGAAAUAUUUGAUAGGUUCUAAAGAAGGGAGGAGGAAACUGAGACCCAGGCAGAAGAAUUUGUUCUUCAAACUGCGAAAGCAGAGCUACCCCAAUUCAUCCACACACAUAGUAUUUCAGAGAAAAAAAGAAAACCCUAUGAUGGCAAGCAGUCAUAAGGAUGAAUGAGUGGCUUGAUCUCGGCUCAUUGCAACCUUCGCCUCCUGGGUUCAAGCAAUUCUACCUGCCUAGCCUCCCGAGUAGCUGGGAUUACAGGCACCCUGCAUCACAACGGCAUCACGCAUUCGAAUUUAGUAUUUUAGAGUGAUCUUAAUAGGUUUUCUACCAGGUGAACUACGUGGUCAUGGAAGCACUGUUGAUGGUGUGGCACUACUGCCUGUUCUUCAAAGGUGAGCUAUUAUGCAAUUUACAAAAGCAGGAAGAUGGUUGUCUUAGAAAUUAGGACACCUUAGAGUUGGUUCUGGUUCAACCGUUCACUAGCAAAAUGGCCUUGCAUGAGCCAGGCAGCUUUUCUGGAACCGUUUUCUUACCCGCAAGACAUAAGGGUCUGAGGUGCCUUACUCGCUCUAGCUCUAAUUCUUAGAUGACAUGACUUGAGUGCACGGGGUAUGUGUAGAGGUAGCAUAGAGUAGGGGAGCAUGGAAGAUAAAAACAGAUUUUGGAGCUGGGAAGUUCAUCUUCAAAUCUUGGCUCAGCUACAUAUUUAUUAGUUGAAUGGACACAAUCAUGUAAUCUCUUUAUGCAUGUGUUUCUUCAUUUUUAAAGAGAGGGUAAAAGGGCACAUCCCCCUAAGAUUGCUGUAAGUAAGUAUUAAACAUAAAAACAUAAGGAAAGAUAGAACAAGCAUGACACACUUACUAGCAGAUUUUGCAAACUAAAAAUGGCAAUUUAAUUUCCUUUGAUAUUUAAUUAUUUUCAAGUAAAUGUUUGAAAACCAUUUAUUUGUGGAUGACAAAGAAAUAAAACAGUGUUACACCUUCAGUUGAAAGAAUUCUAGAAUGUAAUUAGAAAUUCUGGAUUUUAAUCCUGCUGUGUGGAUGACAAUAAAAAUAGAAUUUAUCAAAAUUUAUGCAGUGAAACUAAAGUUGUUUCAGAGUGCAGUUUAUGGUAUAUAUAUAUAUACACACACACACACAUACACAUAUGUAUACAUUUUUUAAAAAAGAAAGACUAGAAAUUAAUUACUUAAAAAUCAAAAUCAAGAUAUUAGGAAAAUGACAGUGUAGUAAAGCCAAAGAAAAUUAAA